rnacentral:rRNA from 1 species
GUGGGGAAUAUUGGACAAUGGGCGCAAGCCUGAUCCAGCCAUACCGCGUGGGUGAAGAAGGCCUUCGGGUUGUAAAGCCCUUUUGUUGGGAAAGAAAUCCUGUCGGUUAAUACCUGGCGGGGAUGACGGUACCCAAAGAAUAAGCACCGGCUAACUUCGUGCCAGCAGCCGCGGUAAUACGAAGGGUGCAAGCGUUACUCGGAAUUACUGGGCGUAAAGCGUGCGUAGGUGGUGGUUUAAGUCCGUUGUGAAAGCCCUGGGCUCAACCUGGGAAUUGCAGUGGAUACUGGAUCACUAGAGUGUGGUAGAGGGAUGCGGAAUGUCUGGUGUAGCAGUGAAAUGCGUAGAGAUCAGAAGGAACAUCCGUGGCGAAGGCGGCAUCCUGGGCCAACACUGACACUGAGGCACGAAAGCGUGGGGAGCAAACAGGAUUAGAAACCCCAGUAGUCC